AGGGCCGCAUGCAUUCCAAAACACAAGUCUUUCAGAGAUGAGGAGGAAGUGUCCGCCCCUUUGUUGCUCACAAAAUAACAACCGCCACAGUGGUCUGUACAAUAAAGGGCGAGCUGGGAGUGCGGUGACUAUCCUCAUGGGGCCUGCUGAAGAAGAGUCGUCUGAUGUAAUGACCGCCCUUAGGGUGCAGACCGAGCAAGACAAUAGGGGGCAUCGCUAGUGCUAUACAACAACACAGCAUGGUGGCAAUACAACCCAAACUGGAUUGGUACAUUCAGCUGGUCAACAAUAAGAACGACCCGCUGGCCCAGGAAAGAUGAAAUGGUCACUUGACCAUUUGGUUUUCUGUGACAAAUUCUGCUUGUGGACUUUUCAAACUUGUCAUCUAAGUAAAAUGAUCAAACUGGUUGACACAAAUGAGAUUUAGUUGAAAUCACAAGAAUGACCUGUGAUAGCAUCAAUAAGAAUGGAUUGAGAAUGAUAAACCAAUCAGAAAUGUCCAAAAGAUGUAUUUAUGCAUUUAUGUCUUGGAAGUUUCCAGUACAAUUACAAUAGCAGCAUCAUUUUCAGCUAUUGUUGGAAAUUUCCUUUGUACAGAAAUCUAAAAAAAAAAAAAAAAAUAUAUAUAUAUAUAUAUAUAUAUAUAUAUAUAUAUAUAUAUAUAUAUAUAUAUA